rnacentral:rRNA from 1 species
GACGAACGCUGGCGGCGUGCUUAACACAUGCAAGUCGAACGAUGAAGCCCAGCUUGCUGGGUGGAUUAGUGGCGAACGGGUGAGUAACACGUGGGCAACCUGCCCCAAACUCUGGGAUAACUCCUCGAAAGAGGUGCUAAUACCGGAUACGAACUAGACAGACAUCUGUACUAGUUGGAAAGUUUUUCGGUUUGGGAUGGGCCCGCGGCCUAUCAGCUUGUUGGUGAGGUAACGGCUCACCAAGGCCACGACGGGUAACCGGCCUGAGAGGGCGACCGGUCACACUGGGACUGAGACACGGCCCAGACUCCUACGGGAGGCAGCAGUGGGGAAUAUUGCGCUAUGGGCGAAAGCCUGACGCAGCGACGCCGCGUGAGGGAUGAAGGUCUUCGGAUCGUAAACCUCUUUCAGUAGGGACGAAGCGAAAGUGACGGUACCUAAAGAAGAAGCACCGGCUAACUACGUGCCAGCAGCCGCAGUAA